rnacentral:rRNA from 1 species
GACGAACGCUGGCGGCGUGCUUAACACAUGCAAGUCGAACGGAAAGGCCCUGCUUUUGUGGGGUGCUCGAGUGGCGAACGGGUGAGUAACACGUGAGUAACCUGCCCUUGACUUUGGGAUAACUUCAUGAAACUGGGGCUAAUACCGGAUAGGAGCUCCUGCUGCAUGGUGUGGGUUGGAAAGUUUCGGCGUUUGGGGAUGGACUCGGGGCUAAUCAGCUUGUUGGUGGGGUGGUGGCUUACCAAGGCUUUGACGGGUGGCCGGCCUGAGACGGUGACCGGCCACAUUCGGGCUGAGAAGCGGCCCAUACUCCUUCGGGGGGCAGGAGUGGGGGAUAGUGCAAACAGGGCGGCAGGCUGGUGCAACAACGCCGCGUGCGGGAACGCGGCUUUCGGGUUGGAAACCGCUUGCGCCUGUAACGAUGCGUGAGUGACGGUAAUGGGUAAAAAAGCAACGGCUAACUACGUG